UCCCUGGUGGCUCAGAUGGUAAAGCGUCUGCCUGCAGUGCAGGAGAUCUGAGUUCGAUCUCCAGGUCAGGAAG
rfam:TPA: Bos taurus chromosome 27, whole genome shotgun sequence.